CCUACGGGAGGCAGCAGUGGGGAAUAUUGCACAAUGGGGGAAACCCUGAUGCAGCGACGCCGCGUGAGUGAGGAAGUAUUUCGGUAUGUACAGCUCUAUCAGCAGGGAAGAAAAUGACGGUACCUGACUAAGAAGCCCCGGCUAACUACGUGCCAGCAGCCGCGGUAAUACGUAGGGGGCAAGCGUUAUCCGGAUUUACUGGGUGUAAAGGGAGCGUAGACGGAAUUGCAAGUCUGAUGUGAAAAUCCGGGGCCCAACCCCGGAACUGCAUUGGAAACGGUAUUUCUAGAGGGUCGGAGAGGCAAGUGGAAGUCCUGGUGGAGCGGUGAAAUGCGGAGAUAUCAGGAGGAACACCAGUGGCGAAGGCGGUUUGCUGGACGAUGACUGACGUUGAGGCUCGAAAGCGUGGGGAGCAAACAGGAUUAGAUACCCUAGUAGUC
rnacentral:rRNA from 1 species